GCGUACAUUUGUUCCUAUCUACAUAAGUUAUAAGUGAUUGCAUUAUACAUAUUGUGUAAUAACCAGCUCUUAUUUGCUUAACAUGUAGUCAAUAUUUUGUCCUAUUGAUGUUAAUAUUUACAGAUAAAUGGGUUUCUAUCUGAUUAUAUUUCAUCCACUGUUUUUAAAAGAGAUUUCUGAGAGACACAUACCUCCAGUAGCCAUGCUGACAGGUGGGGGUCAUGAUGCUAGAGCUGAGGACACAGGUGAACUCUGUGCAUUUUUUUUCUGAGCAGAGUAGAUAAUAACAACACUGGGUCUGGGCCUGAAUUUCUGCGUGUAAUUUGAGGAUUGCAGAAGGAGUUAGGCAUCUUUUGCUGAGACCCAUCUUCAGGUCAGGGGCCUAAUGAGAACACUGCACCAAGGGAGGGCAGAACAAAUCAUUUGAAUGGAAUGCAUUCCAAUCCAGAAUCUUCCUCUAGAGAACAUGUUAUUGAAUGUCUGACUCUCCUUAUUACUUGUGUGGGGGAAAACACGUACUGAACAAAAAAAUGCCACCAGAGACUAGACCUUGUCAAUGUUCUCUGAUGCCUAGUAGGACCACUGCAGAAAAAAAAAUAUUAAUGAGACUGUUGCCAGGAGACGGGAGAGCCAAAAGUCCAUGACAUUGUAGGGGUUCCACUGGAAAUCAAGGCAAUUUAACUGUGUUUUAGAUCAGAAGUUUUGCUACUAAAAUCAGUUCUGUGAUGAGCAUGUACUUUUUAGCAUGUGAUACUUAAAAUGAUUCUGUGUUUUUGGAGGAAUUGGAGGAUAAUCCCAAGGCAUUUCAUUUCUUUCCACAGAGCUAAUCCCUUCUUCAGAGCACAGCUCAUUUUCAAGUGGCUGCUGCCGCUUUCCCGCCCCCCCUUCAGUGCGACAGCCUCAGAGCUGGUGGAGAAGCAGAGCGCUUGCAGCUGGAGAUUGGACAAUUCAGAGAGCCCUGGAGGAGGGGGAGAGGGCUUCGUUUCCAGUGUGUACUUGCCACCUAGUGACCAUAGUGAAAUGUGUGGCUUCCUACCUUGUGUUAUGUUACAUUGCCCUUCCCUGGAAAACGAAGUUCCUGGAAAUCAAGAUGGUGAUACUUGUGCUUCUCAGCUCAGCCUGGUAGCCUGA
rnacentral:lncRNA from 1 species